rnacentral:lncRNA from 1 species
AUGUGCAGAGGACCCAYGCCAGGAUUACCCCACCACCCCCAGAGGGCAGGGCCUGGACGCUGCUCCCCUUUGCCUCAACCUCUGGACCAAGCCUCAGGAGACACUCCCCACCUUACGGCCCCACUCCAGGAGACCCCAAACUUCCCCCUUCCCGGUUUCGCCUCAGACAACCCCACGCGACAGCAAAGGAGAGGCUGGGCUGACCCCGGGAAGCCACAAGCAGAGGUGAUGCUGUGCAGGAAAAGGGACCCUCACGGCCAAGCGCUCACCUGCCUGCUGAGCCCCUCAUCCCACCUGGGAGCCGCGCUGGGAGUGCGGAGGAACCCGAGCUGGCCCAGCAGCGAGGCAAACGAUCUGCUGGGUCGGGGCCCCGAGGCCUCCGUGCAGGCGCAGCCCAUCAAUAUUAACCAGGAGCGAGGCCACCCCGGGGUCCUGCCAAGGCACGCUGCGAGCCUGGGCCAGGCGCUCGCCCCGGCACAGUGCCAGGCGGCAGUGCCACAUGCUGCCACRGAGCCUGUCCCCCACACGACUCACGACAGCUCCCAAGCCACCCCGGCCCCCAAAACUGCCCUACAUCUCUCUCAGCUGCYGUUUGCAGCUCCCCACCAGCCCCAGGCGAGGCGGGCGCAGAGUUGCCCCUCAGCAGGCAGGACUCAGGGCACACAAGGCAACCGAGCCAGGUCUGAAGCAGCAUUCGCCCAGCUCCAGCCUGCUGCUCCCCCCCGUCCCCCAAACACCUCCACUCCCUUAUACUGGGAACACCCAGCCGCAUCCCUGCUGCGGCUAAAGCAGCAUGACGAUGGGACCCGUGAGGCAGCAGAGCUGCUGGGCCCAGCAUCGCCCCGUGCCCGAGCCGCAGAGCCCAGGACAUCCUGGCUCCCAACCCACGGGGGACCCACGCUGGCCAGAGGGAGCAGGGCAGUGSCACGUGCAGCAGAGCCUGUCCAGCGGGGACCAGCUCCCUGUGCUGCGAUACCCGCUGUCACGCCAGAAGGAACCGGCGAGGGACAGUCCCUGGGGAGCAGCAGAGAGGGUAAGGUCAGGAGCUGCAACAUCCAGAUGGGCUGWCCAAAAGAGCCAGGGGCCCCCCUCUGCCCUGUCCAGACGAGUGUGGGGCUGACCCUAAGAACAGGAGCAGCUGGACAUCAGGUGCAAGAUCCACCAGACCCAGCAACCCACCCCAGUGCAUUUUCAGGACUCCUCCCCAGGCUCCUACUCCUCCUGCACUCUGAUAACAGGGAGGUGGGAUGA